AUGCAGGUGCAGCUGGACUUUCUUCUGAGCUAUAAGCAUAUUUAUUUAAUCCCUUAAAACGGAUUAUUACUUUUUGCUGCAGCUAAUAUAAAGGUUGAUUGUUCUCUAUGCUGACUGAUGCAGGAAUUUGGCAAAAUAUCGUCUAGGCGAUUUUUGUUAAACUCGAUCUCAAAUCAAGUAAGACUACCCGCUGAACUUAA
rnacentral:misc_RNA from 1 species